GGAGAGUUGGCGCAACAGGUUAGCGCAAAAGUGUUAUACACUCAAGGUUGAAGGUUCAAGCCCUUCACUUUCUGCUA
rnacentral:tRNA from 1 species